rnacentral:rRNA from 1 species
UACGGAGGGGGCUAGCGUUGUUCGGAAUUACUGGGCGUAAAGCGCGCGUAGGCGGCUUUGCAAGUCGGGGGCGAAAGCCCGAGGCUCAACCUCGGAACUGCCUUCGAUACUGCAAAUCUCGAGUCCGAGAGAGGUGAGUGGAAUUCCUAGUGUAGAGGUGAAAUUCGUAGAUAUUAGGAAGAACACCAGUGGCGAAGGCGGCUCACUGGCUCGGUACUGACGCUGAGGCGCGAAAGCGUGGGGAGCAAACAGG